UUGGAAGUAAAAAAAUCGUAACAAGGUUUCCGUAGGUGAACCUGCGGAAGGAUCAUAAAAAACUAAUUUACACGCGAUUUAAAAUUGCUUACUUCAAUAACCUAUUAAACAAUCAACCAACUAAUACCAAAAACUUCCAACAACGGAUCUCUUGGUUCUCGCAUCGAUGAAGAACGCAGCGAAAUGCGAUACGUAAUAUGAAUUGCAGAUUUUGUGAAUCAUCGAAUCUUUGAACGCACAUUGCGCCCGUGGGUAUUCCCGCGGGCAUGCGUGUGUGAGCGGUUAUCUCCCUCGCAGGUAAUGGACAUACGGCGUCAGCUGUUCCUCCAAAAAGUGAUUGGUGUAGUAUUACAGUUUACUCACAACCAUACUUUUUCCCUCACACACGUAAGACUACCCGCUGAACUUAAGCAUAUCAAAAGGCCGGAGGAACUG
rnacentral:rRNA from 1 species